UACGUAGGCAGCAAGCGUUGUUCGGAGUUACUGGGCGUAAAGGGUGUGUAGGCGGUUGUUUAAGUUUGGUGUGAAAUCUCCCGGCUCAACUGGGAGGGUGCGACGAAUACUGAAUGACUUCGAGUGCGGGAGAGGAAAGUGGAAUUCCUGGUGUAGCGGUGAAAUGCGUAGAUAUCAGGAGGAACACCGGUGGUGUAGACGGCUUUCUGGACCGUAACUGACGCUGAGACACGAAAGCGUGGGUAGCAAACAGG
rnacentral:rRNA from 1 species